CAUGACCAUCCAGGAGCAGGAGAGAGAACUCCAACACCAGCUGGAUGCAGCUGCCCAUCUUAGAGCUGACCCUUUCUCAUGGGAGGCCCUAAUAUGUCAGGGCCUUCAGCUUCUCAAUUUGUCCAAAGUGAAUAACAUUUCAGACUGUUUUCUCUGCACAGGUUUGGAUCAAACUCCAUCAACUGAGAUUCCCAUUGACCUUCCUCUCAAUAUCUCAACCAGACCCCAAGGGCUCCCCUCUCCAGCCUUUGAGGAAGUACCUCUUUUUUCUAACUCAUCAGGGAAUUUCCCCUGCUGCUACACUGCCUCUGGUUCAGAACCCUGUGACCAGAUUGUUUGAAUUUCUUCCCCAACCUUUGCUCUGCUGGGGUUCUUUUUCUGGUGCAAUGGUACCUUAACAAAAAAUCUAAGCCUCAACAUGCCGUUGGCUUUUUUGGGUUCCUUCCACCUUGGUCCCCAAUUAACUCUGUCCAGUGAGGCCAAAUUAGCAUGGCUUGUCACCACCUCCCUUUCCAGGACAAGAAGGGCCGUCUUCCUACCAGUAGUAAGUAAUUGGACUGUCCCUGGCCUCCCCCCUCGCUGCCUCUGGACUGGGGGCAGGAGGACUUGGUUCUGCAGUACCCGCUACUCAGAAGCUUCCACAACAACCUCGGGAGGCGGUCGAGGUAUCCGCUGCCUCUCCUGCUCCCCGUCUAUUGCCCAAGUCUCAUUACAGCACCGUCGAGCCCUAGACCUCCUGACGGCAGACAAAGGAGAACCUGUCUAUUCUUAAGCAGCCUGACCCGUGGCCAGCUGGCUGAACUCUGCCCCCAUUGCAUGGCCGACCCCCAUUCUCACUCCUGUUAGUAGUAGGACCUCUAUGAAUGGCUG
rnacentral:lncRNA from 1 species